UGCCCGAGGUUAUCCGAAGGAUGUCAAGGAAGAGGACGGGAGGACUCCAAGAGAGCUCACUCUCCAGGAUCGCAUCAGCGCUUGAGAGGUGGAGCCUAGCUGUUCCGUGACUAUAGGCAGAGGUGGGCCAGCCCUGGAACCUUAGGCUUUGCAGAUGAUAGAAAGGAGGAGCUGAAGGAUGAAGACGGAUCCAUGUCAGUGUGAAUUUGUGUUUCACAGCUGCUGUCGGGCAUUCCUCCAUUCCUCCAUUUGUUUCACUGGUUACAUGGAUGAUCCAUUCCAGGCCAACUCAAGUGUCCUAGUAGAGACUUCCUUGGUCUAAUAUGGUAGGUCCUUUUAAUGGAACUGAGUACUGUGUAUCUACUCUUCUCCAUUGCUACAGAGAUCUCCUCAGACACCGUUGCCAAAUAAAUUAACUAAGAAAGGAGACUGGGAGCAAAGGCAGCCAAAUAAAGACUUCCUUGAGUAGAAAGACCUAGUGCCCUCUUGCUGGAUUUCUGCUGGAAAAUUUGGGCAAAUGUCAUAUUUGGGAAGCAUACUUACAGAGCUGAGUCUGAGAACAAAUAAACAGGUUGUCAUGAGACUG